AUGAUGACGACGGAGCAUGCAGCCAUGGAUCAGAGGUUGAAGCAUUUCCAUGAUGAUAUGGACCUAAAGUUGAAGAAGGAGCGGAAGGACCUGGACCGCACUAUACAGCUCGAGCGUGGCAAGAUGGAAUUCAAUAUCAUGCAGGCGUGUGCGAACAGGGAUCUUAUCUUGCGGCAAGAGCGUAAGGACAUGGAUCACAAGGCCAAGAUGGAUCAGAUCCGCUUGGAAGGGAAUAUGAUGCAGGACCACGUUGUACAGCUCGAGCGUGGUAAGAUGGACGUCAAUACAAUGCAAGCUCGUGCGGAUAUGGAGCGAAAGUUACAACAAGACCGUAGUGAUCUAGAUUACAAGGCCAAGAUGGAGGACAUCCUCAUGGAUGGGAGUAUGAUGCAAGACCUUGCUAGUACAGGCACGAAGGUAGUUGUAAUGCAAUUUAUUGUUCAUGUGGACUAUGAACUUUCUCAUGUUCCUCACGCGUAUCACAACGGGAGACCUGGUAUGACGACAAUAGUUGAACCCGGCAAGGUGGACUGGCAGCUAAUGGAGAAAAAUUUGCGUUGCCAAGGGUACAAAGGGAAAGCAGAUUUGUACUACAUCAAGCCUGGGUGUGUACCACCAGAAGGAAUGGACAUGUGUGAGGAAGACAUAUAUUCGUGUGGGUACAAGGAUAUCGGCAAGAGGGACAUGGGCGAAUAUGGGUCAUCGCCCAAAAGAAAGAAACUUGCAGAUAACAAUUCGAAGAAAGCAUUGGAUUUCGGCAGCAGUGACGAGCCUCUUCAAUAG
rnacentral:rRNA from 1 species